rnacentral:lncRNA from 1 species
CUUGCUGCCCCGCCUUGCUUCAGGCAUCACAGCAGGGCAGAGACGGAGAAUCUGCACAUGAGCGAGUGUGUCACACGCCGUUCAGGUGUGUGUGUGUGUGUGUGUGUGUAAAUGUGGUUCUAUGGGGGGGUUCCUCCACCACAUUGACAGACAAUGAAGCAGGAGGAGGACCACGUGACCUCGCAUCGUCAGCUAUUUGAGUGUCAUCAGAGGAGCUGGGUAAUGGUCUCUAAAGCACCAUUUCACCGUGAACCUGGCAGCGCCGCCGUCCAAAAAACAUCUGGUGCGCUGCUGAGAGCGUCCGUGGUGCCAGGCACGCAACAUCAAGACCGCACAACACGAGAAGCCCUCGCCAGGCCCGGUCCAGCGCAGACGACGCACUUCAAGAAUAAUCGGAAUAACAACGAGUACAGCGGGUGCAAAGGCACGUGUCCUCUUUCACGUCCACCUUCAUUUACAAUCAUGACAGCAAGAUAUGAGGUGUGGUCGUGUGUUUCAGAAGAAUCAGAAUUCUGAUCCUGAUAUGAGGUGUGGUCGUGUGUUUCAGAAGAAUCAGAAUUCUGAUCCUGAUAUGAGGUGUGGUCAUGUGUUUCAGAAGAAUCAGAAUUCUGAUUCUGAAUCUACUGAUCCUGAUAUGAGGUGUGGUCGUGUGUUUCAGAAGAAUCAGAAUUCUGAUCCUGAUAUGAGGUGUGGCCGUGGGUUUGUGCAGCUAAAUGUGGGUAUUUUCAUGAAUUUGUGUGUCAUAUUUAGUACCUUUGUGCCUGUUUUCUCCUUCCUUUGUGAGUCUUUACAUGAAAGAGCUUGAUAUGGGAGCGUAAUACUCUCUCUCUCUCUCCCUGUAUCUCACUGCCUUCCACAAUGACAUGACUGACCUCUAGUGACGACUGCCAGUACACUGCCUGCCUCAUGAACUUUCCUGACUAGACACACCUCAGUUUCAUUCCGAACUUGUCCUCACUGCAGGAACACGUCACCAUGUUUACCCGUCUUACGUUGUUCUUCUGGUGGUCUGGGCCUGCGCUCUGAUGCUCCUCCUGCAGCUCCCUGCAUCAUUUCCACCUUUUGAUGAUCUAGGCUGGUCGAUAUUAAACGUAUCGCAUCAGCAGCAUAAAACAAUCGUAUUUUGCUCAGAAGAUCUGUAUAUCGUGAUAGACUGUGCACAUUAUAGUGUUUUUGUAGAAACCACUUCUGGGCGGAACAGCGCCUCUACCUGCGUGGAGUGCAGGACGGUUCCUACACUGAACGCACCACGUUGCAACGGGACGCUUUACCGCUCGUGCUGCAGUAAAACUGCCUCUUUCUCCCAUUAACUCCUGUAUGUCUGAUGGACAUGUUCUGGUGGACAUGUUCUCCUUGCGUCUUCCGCCAUGCAAAUCCGUACCCUGUCGUGCUAAUGAAAUAACCAAUUACCAUAAAAUGAAGGGGUCCAGUUAUCGUACAUUAUGGGAUUUUUUGGAAUUAUUGAUUGUACAGAGGGCAAAAAUUAUGGUAUAAAUAUGAUAAUUAUCAUACGUCUGGCAACACUUAUAAGUGCAUGUUGGAACUACCUCAAUUCAAUGUAUUUUUUAACAAAAGUUGCCAUUUAUAAGUUUUGAGACCAAUAAUCCCCCAAAUUUCUCAAAAUAGUGCAAAUAAUAAUGAAUUGGGAGUGAGUAGCGAUUCAUUAAAGCUGCGUGCGCUGGACUGAACACGUAAUAGUGGAUGAGCUGUAAUGAGUGGAACCGGGUACGCGGUCCUAUCCAUACAUUACCGCCCAAUACUUUACUAAUUAAAGGAAACAGAUUGAAUUGGAGGCUCGGAACGCCUUGAUUAGAGGUUGAGGCUGGACGGUGUGGUGAAAAUACAUCUGCUACCGUGAUGAAUUUGAGAGGGUAAGACGAGAUUGUCAGAGUGCAGACGUCAGAAGGCCCGGGGCGAAAGUUGAGAUGGACCUAGUUGGGUUGAGUACAGAACCCGUCCGACCUCAGUCGAGGAGGAGGAAUAGGACCCCUGUUUCUCAGGUGGGGUCCAUCCUCUUGGAGAAACCCUAGCCUCCAUCACAGGAAAGAGAAACAGAUGUGAACUGGAAAUCAGAGCUUGUGACUGGCAUCUGCCAUUUGGCCCCAGCGGGGCCUUCGACGUCUUUCAUCUGCUGACCGUCUGCUUGAUUCGGACCAAACUCGUGGAACUGUGCUGCAACCAAUCACCGCUAAAUCAAACCUGGAUCACUAGCACAACACUUGCAAUAUGACAACGACAACAACACAAAGUUGUCCAGUUACUUUGUAGGUCAUUUGUAGGCCGACAAAGGACCCAGAACGGUAAUGUUCUAAAAUGGUUCCAGAGUAAAUUUCUCUUCCACAAACCUAUAACUUCUUCUCUAACCUAUAACCUCGAAGUUUUGCCCGGAAACAACGAGAGCGCCCACCAGUGGUGUGAAACUCAAACCAGCCGCACGUGUCACGGUUGCCAGUCAAGCUACCGUUAGUUUCUGAGUGUAACAUGAAGCCAAUUGGGCCCCGUCAAACCCUGCUGGUCCUUCUGAUUUAAUCCAUUUUAGACUUCCAUUCUGUAGACGUUCCAUUCUAGCUGGAGCCGGUACUUUUGUUGCGGCCGUGAGCUCUGGUGGAUCAUUGAAUUUGAUCGGUUUCAAAUAACAUUUGGUGGCUGAAGCAGCCUGAAGGAACUCGGUUGUCGGUUGUAAACAGGGUUUGUUAUCAGCUUUCUGAACAUCACUGGCGUAAGAUUGGACUUCCAUUAUUCUCUGCGGCGAGGAGCGGAGUAUGCUCAGGUUAAUUCCCGAUCUAGCAAGUCUGUACAUUUUGGAAAAGUUUGAUGUUUCAGGUGCCUGCGAGUUUGCUUGGGUGUGAGUGUGCAUGUAGAUUAUUUUAUGGUACACGUUUAAUAUGCUUUAUUUGCACUAAUUAUUGUUUGGAGUUUGUAGAAUUAUGUUAGUAUUUAAACAAAUAUCUAAUCUUACUGACAGAUGGAUGGUCUUACACCCGGGACCCUGGACGGAGGGGCCGUUAGGGGAUUAGAAUGCUCUAAUAAUGUAGUGGGAUAACUGAAAGGCAGAUUAGGGCCCUACAGGACAGACAAUGUCUUCAUAAUGUCCAGAAGUCACAGACUGACGAAUAUUUAGCAUGCAGGCCAGUCCAGAGGUUUAAAUAAAGCAUUUAUGCAUUUGAUCUGAGAUAACUGC